rnacentral:tRNA from 1 species
GCGGAAGUGGUGAAACUGGCAAACACGCAGGCCUCAGAAGUCUGUGGCCGUAAGGCCUUGGGGGUUCAACUCCCCCCUUCCGCACCA